UGGAGAAAAAUCUGGGGCUUUCACCUGCUACACAGAACACACCGAGGGCAGGGGAGGGAGGAAGUUCCCUGAGCUCCAAGAAGAGGACACUUCUGAAGGGGAAAUGCACAUGAGGGUUGCCCACGUCCACAGGGCACAGAGGAGCGCUGAGGUCCCACGGCACAGAGGGCCGGUGGAGGAGAAAUCUGGAGGCGUGGGGAUGGUUUCCUUGGAAUCAGUAGCAGGAUACCAGGAUCCUCCCAACCUGCACAGAAGGUUGUUUCUGAAUUUCCUGGCUCUAGAAGUUACGGAGAUACUUAUGAAAAUGUACUUAACUGCCAGUGAGUCAGCAUUCGUCGGUCUGAAACUCAUUUCCAGGAAUUAUGUGAUUUACAAGACUUGACUUCCAAACCUGGCGACUGACAUAGCAAAAGCAAGAAUAAAGAAACUCUCAAAUAUAAACGCCAGACGUCUUUCAAAUGCAAAAUACAGCAUGGUUUCUUCACUGAUCUCAAGAUGAAAGGUCACACUGAGCUGGAAAAGGAAACAUUCUUUAAAUUUAACAGUACUAAUGAAGACCAUUCUUGUUCUUUUGGAUUCAUCAAAUGUGGAACGAAUGCUUCAGGUGUAUUACCAGCAUCAUAACAAUGGACAGUAUCUGCUUCUGGCACCUAAGCAGAAUAAAUCCGAGGUUCUUGAUGGCCAUCCUUUCUAAGAACUGUCCAUUCUGCAGUCCCAUAAUGUCCAUAAAAUCCUGACAUUUCUUUUGUGGAGUCAAGACAAACCUUCAAGGCUGCAGAACUUGGCUUAUUGUUGCAGCAAGCCAAGACGAGCAGGUACCAUGUGACUCUGCAAAAUCAGAGGGUCCAGCUGACUUCAGCAGACUCCAUAUGGGCAGCAUUGAUUUGAAUGUGCACCCUGAAUCCUUGAAGGAUUCAGUCCCUCCCAUGCAGAAGAAGGACAAAUUCUGAGUGGGAAUGAUAGCUAUCAACCAGAUGCUCAUUUGCACGCCCGAGGGUCACUGAGAAACAGGAACAAAAGUGGGUAUAGCUCCAUGACGAUUUUGAACGAGCUAUCUGGAAGUUGGUGCAUGCUGCUGCAGGGAAGACCUUUGAAGACCUUUCUGGGACUCCUAAAUGCUGUUCGGUUCCAGUCAUGGCUUAUUGCUGGUGAUUCAUUCUUUGGGGAGCCAUGUAUUCACUACUUUACAGAUGUGGAUCCUGGCACAAUUCUGCAAAACAGCUAAGGACUUGCUCCAUCUCUUGCUCUGGGAACCCAAAGCCGGACGCUGUUCUAGAUGUGCUGUCAUCAGUGCCGAAUAGACGCGAAUGAAAAAUGGUUGGUGGAACUUUCUUUUAAGAGGACAAUAUGAUCCAAAACCUGAUUCUGAAAAAAAAAUGCAUCCUUUUAAUUGCUAUUUGAAGAAAAUAUACAUACAAAUUAGUCUUGAAUCUCUCUGAGGAAAUAAAUGUUGUGGCUUUACUUACUGGCUUCCACAACUUGGACCAUGAUAAACUUAUUUCACAAUAGGAGGAAGGUAGUCUGUGAUUAAAAAUGAAUUAAAGGUGGAGAUUACAAUCAAAAUAAUUUAGGAUUUGUACUUUGCAAAUAAAAUGCAACAAAUUAAACAUUGAAGUAGAAAAAAUAGCAAUGGAUGUGUACGAAAGAUAAGUUUGCAUGUUUGGCAUUAUCACUGAUAUGACAGCAUAGUCUUAAAUUCAGGCAUACCUGAAAUGGAGAUAAAAAUAGAUUUUUUUGAAUCAUAGGAAUAUAUUGUACUUACACUUCACUGCUAAGAUUUUUCCACUGAGGGCUAAUGUAGCCAUUAACACUCACAAUUGUCUGCCUGCAUAAGCAGACUGCCUGUCUGUAUAAGAGCUGCUUCUUAGAGGGUAUCAGUUAAUUACCUCACUUGAGUGCAAUAGAAGUGAAGAUGUGUCCUGGAGUUUACACACACUUAUUGUCCCUAGAUCCUCCUAAUGGUAGAAAAUCACAUCAGUCUCCUACUGUCAAACAUUUAAAAUUUGGAAGCCUGAAACUUGGCAUAUAAUUUCAAAGUCACGAGCGCUACAACUUGAAGAAGAGAAGCAACUGUGUAAAUGCCGCAGCCACAGCUGAUAGUGCUGAUUGAUGGGUUUGUCUUGGGAUCCAGCUGUCCUUAUUAAAAAGGACAUUAUUAAAGAAUAUGGGCUGCCAAAGCACAUGCUAAUUUAAGCUUCCCAGAAAGUCAUGCGUGCUGUGGGGGAAAAUUUACUAUGCCUCAAUAGAUCUGCAAAAUUUCUACAUACUUUACAGGCUUCCGUGCCGAGCACUGUACGUGAGCCUUCUGUACAGCAGAAAAUAUUUCUUUUUUCCCCAUGUGUUUUCCAGUGUUUCCACAGCUGCAUCUUGCACUGCUGCAGCGGAAGAGGGGCUGACUGCUGCACUCCCAGGCUCGCAGGAAAGGAUUUCUGGCCAAAUCAUACCACGGGCAGAAACACACCCCGGCUAAAUUUGCUGCUUCUGAGGAGUGGGUUGCAAAAACUGCCUGGAGUCACGCAAGUGAUGCAAAGGCAAAGGCAGGAAGCCGAGCUUGUCUUAGGAUCCUUACUUAUCAGAAAAAAAAAUAAAUAUAAAAAGAAUUUUAAUGCAAUAGAAAAGAUUUAAAUUUUGCAGCAAAAGAAGAAAAUUCACACAGGAAGGUCCAAGUUCAAAUGAAUUUAAAUCUGAUCAUGAAAGACUGAUGGAGGGCUUCUAGUCAGCAAAGCAGUUCAUUACCUGACUAUUUAUAGCAUGCCAUUAGCAAAGGUGAUCCAAAUGAAAUAGUCCACCAUUUUGUUUUCAUGUUCGGUUUGACAGCAGUCACUGGAAAUUACCCUCACAGGUUUGAUAGGAUUCCCGUGGCUAGCAAGAGCGGGAACAAUUCAAUAUUAUAAAGUAUUUAUAAGUCCCUAAGGCAUAUUUAUAGAUGUCCUUGGCAACAUCAAUUUCCAGCCUGUUAAUAGCUUUAAAAGCAGAACUGUAGACCUUUUCUAGUCACCAAAAGGCAGCAAACGCUGACAGACAAGUAGUGAGUAGGCAGAUGCCUCUCUGCCCACCUCUGAUAACAAUCAAGUCACUGUAUUGUGCAUUAGCUUCAGGGAAUGGAUUAGCCCUUUUGGCAGCCCACUAUAAAGCACUUUGCAGUAAUCUCAUUUUGAGAUCUCAAAUGCAUGAAUCAUCCAGGUCAAGUAUAAAUCGUGCUUUGAGGGCCAGAUUCUUAUCUUGCUUACGCUGCAAUGAAUAGAGAGCAAUUGCAUUAAAACCAAUGGUGUUAUACAGCAUGAUAAAAUCAGUAUGUGGGUAAUCAGAAUUGGGCCCUAAGGGUAAAAACUGGCAUGCUAGUAAAAGUUAGCCGAGGGAAGAUGUAUGGGUUGCUAUAUAUAACAGUAAAGAAUCAACUACUUUCUCCUAACACUGGAGCUUCCUGACUUCUUAACACUGGAGCUUUCUUCUAACACUGGAGCUAACAAGGAGCUUUCUUACAAUGAAGAAAUGGAGUGGUCCAAAUCCAACCGAAUAUUUAAGCUCCUAACUGAUCAGAUUCCUAGUUAUUCAUUGAAUUCGCUGGACCUGCUCAUUGACUAAGUUAUAACCGUUUCCCACAUGGCUGGAUAGGCAGGCAGGCUUGAACAUUUGCACCCAUGCAUGCUCCCAUCACACAGCUGUACGUCCAUCUGGCUUGGCGUGAGCUCACUCCUGGCCUCGAGGUGACCCCGCUUGUUGGGUACAUCGAAGAGACAGUGGAGCUGGGAAAAGAUGGUGGACGAUGGGCUACUAGAUGACUUUAUAUAACCCUUGUCCUGCUCCCACUCACAUCCAAAGGACUCGGGGGGAAAAGAGGGCUAAACUGACUGGCUGCUGGGGGAGCUGUUUGUGGGGGUCGCAUCAGCCUUGUAGGCAGUACCUUUGGGUUUUCCCAGUUCGAUCAGUUCUGAGACUACUGACUUCAGGGUGAGUGAGCUGCAGUCUGUGUCCUCAGAACAAGGCAUACAUUUUUCAGUUUCAUAUAAUUUAAACACGGUAUGUAGCACAGAGACAUAUUCCUCAGGCAAGAGUACCUAGGUGUGAAAGACCUAAACACUUAAGCUUCCUCAAACCUACUCUUAUUAAUAGCUGGCAGUGCACAUGUUUAUAAGGUUUUUUGGGGGGGGUUUUUUGUUCUUUUUUUUUGAGGCAGCUGAUCUUGCAGCUUUUUUCCUGCCUCAUCCCCACCUUUCCCUUUAAAUUGUUUAUAUUUUUCAAAUUUUUAGGUUCCUGCUGAGCAGUGUAGAUUUAUUCUGCUGGUGGAGGGAGCAAGGACUGGGCCCGGGGCUAAUGCAAGAAUUUGCUGAAGAGUUGCACACAGCUUUUCCUUUGCAAACUGCUCAUUCAACCAGUUCACUCUUUCCUGAAGGUUUGGUUUGGAAAUGAUGUGCUUAAAGCUGUCUGGACCUCGACAGCUUCAAAUGCAGAGCACGCAAGCUGUGUCCAGGAAUCUGAAAUGGGACAAGAGGCUUCAUUAGCCGAUGACCUCUGAUAAAAGAAAACUGGGCUCAAAGGAACUUGCAGGGAUCAGGUAGUCCAUGCCUUACCUUGCAGCAAGCUUAGCUCUACCUAGAUCACUACUGACAAAUGUUAAUCUACCCUCUUCUUAAAAAUCUCCUCUGGGGCAGAUUGUCCUGCCUGCUGAAGCAACCUAUUCUGCUAUUUAUUUGUCCUUAGUCACCUACUGAUUUGUAAUAACUCUUAGAAUUUGGACUGGCCUGAAUGGAGAAUUCCCAGCUUCGUUAUUCUAUUGCCAACAAAGAUGGUUUUGGAGUAUUGAGCACUGGAGUAUACACCUUUGAAGUUUUAUGGAGCGGGGAAGACCAUAACUCUUGCUUCAAGUUUCAAGCAUGUUCUCUGAUGUUUUUUGAAGCAAAAUAAAGAGGGUCCUUCAGUGAUCCUGAGCUCAAGCUGCUUGCAAGGCAAGCUUAUGGAAGCUGAAAUUUGUGCAACCACAAGUCAAGCUCAGACUUCUAGCACUGUGAAGCAUCUGGCUGCACAGUGGGGAAUCUGUCAGCCUUGUGAACUGGAUCUCCUAUGCUCUGCCACAGGCAGUGCAGGCUGGGUGAUGGAAGGGUAGGCAUAUUUCCCUUAGAGGGUUAAACUAAACUAGUGUGUCCCUGCUAAAUAUGCAAAUUAUUUAACUGGUGCAUUCUGGUAGGAAAAGAAAAAGUCCAGUUGGAAAUUAUUAACAAACCUUUCAGAAAAACACCCUCCCACCAUGUGUUUAUCAAAUAUGCUAAUUAUUUGCCCUGAGAUAGUUCUAGUGAUGCUUUUCCCUGCAUUUGUUGGGUAACUGUGCAGAUGCAAGACACUUUUAGGUCAUUCUACAAGAUCAUUUCCGUUUGCAUUUUCUUGUAUUAGGUCUCUAUACUGACAGACUCGACUUCAGCUUGAAAGGUUGCCAGGGAAGAGCCUUACUGGAUGUGGGCUUUGUAGGAAGAGAUCUAACAAACGGAGGGAAAAUACUGAAUUUUGUGUAUGUGUGCAGUUUUGUGAUUGUGUCUCAUUGCCUGCAAUGUUAUCAGCUUUCAUUAUGAUUAAUUCUGAGCUGGCAAUGAAACAAACUGCCUGCAUACAGACAUUCACAGGAACAUCGCUUUGAGUGGAUUCACAGCUUCUUGGUUCACUUUCGAAAAACUUCAAAGAAGUAGUUAGGCCGUUUUAGUUUGUCUGUUUUGCAGCCAGAACACCAAUAUUUAUGAUUCUGCACAUUGUUUGAUCCUUCUGUUAAUGUCUUCAUACUGGCUGAAAAUGUUUUUUUCAAAAGUUAAAAAGAAACCUCAGCUAUAGCAAGAACUCUUGCCUGUGGAAAUAAACCUUGUGCUACUACUCAGCUGCCAUUCAAGCCCAGGGUGAUGAGGAGUGUUUGCAGAAAAAUGCAUGCUGAAUGCAAGAGCACCUUCUUCUCUGCUUACACUUUGCUCCCUUUCACAGCACUUGGAAUUUAAAUGCCUUAGUGACCAGGUUCACUUUGUUUUGCUGGAAAAUGUUAUUCUCUCCUCACAAGCCUACAACAUCUACAGAAAUACAAGUCGUUUCCUUACAAAAGAGGGGAGCAAAAGCUAUUCUGUCCGAUACUUGGGCAAGAAGUAGCACAAACAAAUACUGCUCAAUUACACAAAAUGAAUUGAAUGUGAAGGCAGGACACGUCUUUGCAGCGUGCAAACAACCCAGAACAGGGACAGGACUUUUGUUACUACAGAACUGUUACGAGAUGUUCCCUCUCCGCAGCGGUGGAGAGGGAAAGGAAUGCAGCCAUCAGGCACGCUGUCCUUCAUUCUUGUAACCUUCAUCCCCGAUGCUUGAAAACAUGCCAAACACAUGCACACCUCCUUCAGCAAAGGGAGUCUACUUGUGACUGUGGUUAUUUGAGACCUCUUUUAAGAAAUCAAGAUUCUUCCUGGAGCUUAAUUAGUGAGGGUGUCUGCUCCAGCAUCUCACAUAGCACCCGCAAGGAAUAUCUGGAUGGUGUUUUUUAUGCUGAUUCUGGGAGAGCUUGUCUCCAUGAAAAGAACUGAGAGGCAGAAGGAGCAGGAGAAAAUACAGAGAAGACAGGAACAAGAAAAGGCCAAGAAGAACAAGUAUGAGUGGACCAUGAAGGUGCUUGCAAUGACCAAAAUCACUUUGGAUAUAAUUCAGAUCCCAGCUAAGUCACUGGCACGUGGCCGUCUCUUUGUGAACUGGAUGUUUAAAAGUCCAUUAAAGUUAAUGGAAACCUAAUGGGUACACACAGGGAGUCUAGAGGCUAUUCAGCUGACCAAAUGUCACUGUGUGGGAGAUACAAUUCCAGCUGAGGCAUUACCAGAAGGGGAAGGUAGGUGAAGAUUACUUUGCAUAUUUUGCAUAAAACCCACCUGUUUCUUUAUGUCAGAGGGAGGUAAGUAGAUAUAGUUAUGUAAGGUAGAUAUAGUUAUUCUUAACUCAGUAACUCAUGUUACUUAUUGUUAACUCAUUCAGUUUUCAGGCUUUUCUCCUAAAAAUUACAUUUAUCCAGUGCUUUCCUGUCUUUUAUUUUUGCAGUUAAUUAUUCCUACCUUUUCACCUAUCCUUGCUGAAUUGCAUCCUAUUUAUUUCAUAAAGAGUACUCCCCACUCUGUUGUCCUAGUCGUUAAUGGAAAUGCUGAGAAAUACUAGAAGCAAGCUGAAUUUUUGCAGAAAACCAGAGAUAUCCUUCUAGUUUGACAGUGAACACUGAUAAAUUUUGGCAUAAAUUUUUUACAAGCAACUAUAUAUAUCUUACAGCAUUUUAAGCUAGGGCAGGCAUUUAGAAAACAUGGUAUAAGUGCUCCCAAUACUCAGCAAGUUUCAAAGUAGGUUGAAUACUAUGAGAUAGCAAAAUGACUCCUUUGCACCUGAAUGCUGCCCAGCAGAGUCGGGACUUGCUGCUAAUACUGGCAGUAGUGGCCGAGGAAACCAGGCUGGGGACCCCUAUCUACAGGACAUUCCUCUAGCUCCUCUGAGAAAAUGCUGUGUUAGUAGGCCUUCUAAUGGUGUUUCAAGUCAAAACACAGCAUGUCAUAUCCACCUCUUUAAAGUGUUUCUGAUCUGUUGUAGAAUUAAGUUAUUAUUUGACAUCGGUUGGCCUUGAGAAAUCCAUGUUGGUGUCACUGGCUUCUAAGGGCUUGUAAAUUAAUGUUUUUUUGUUUUAUUUUAGGCAGUGUUGGAGUUAGGCUGACUAGACUAUAAUUCUGAUACUUCUCCCUUCCUACUCCAGGCUUUUUGGUUUUUUUCUGUUUUCACCUCUCCUCCAUAAUUCUCAAAGACAAUUGUGAACUGCCUGGAUUGCAUCACCCCAGAAUGAAUUCCACCAGGUCAGCCUGAUCCAGAAGAGGACUGGCACACAGCUGAAGUGCUCUGGACAUCCUGUGGGAAUGCCUCCACUCUGACUUGAUAGCAGCUGAUAUGCUCACCCAGAAGAGAGGAUCUAGUUAACCCUGCUGUUGGCACUGAAGCUGAACCAAGUAUACGUUGGACAACUGGCAAAAGUCUCAGAACUACAUUUUAAAUGCGUUUAAGUGUCUAAGUGCUUAUGCAAACACUGUUCUGUAUUUUGUGGUAGUUUCCACAAAAUCCAAAGAAUACAUCAACAAUAAUCAGUGAGAUGUAAUUUUAGAGAUUCCAAGCUAGACUGAGGUAAGACAGCAUGCGAAUAUAGUAACUUGAGUCUUGGAAGCAGUUUAGAAUUGCAAAAUAUUGGACUAAUCAAUCCUGCUUAGAAUUACAUUACUGGACUAAUCAAUGCUGCUUUUUAACAGGGCAGUUGCCUUGGAACAGGAUUGCUGCUUCUGGUGCUGAAGUUGAGUGCUGGUUUGAGUGCUUUGCUAUGCUGUACUGCACAGUGUAAAUUCAUUGAGUCAAUAGGAUCAACUCAUGAUCACAGAUAUUUCAGUUUUUGAGAGCCAGAGACUUGCAACCUAGCCGUCGAAGGAAGUUCAUAGUGGCUUUCUGCUUUUCUCAAGUGAAACUCAGUCUGUGACUAAAAGUUUCUUUAAAAGACAUUGUUUAUUGAGAAGUAUUAUUAAAAAAGAACCUGAACUAGGACUUCAUAAACUUCUGAAAUAUCAAAUGUGUGUAAGAAGUGUAUUUAAAAGAACUCUGUUGAGGAGAUAUAGCAUGCUAGUAUGCUUCAAAUAACUCUCAGUUUGGCAUAGUCAUAUGUUCAGAGAAGGGUUUUCAUGUAUUCCAAAAUAUACACAAAAGUUUUUCCAUUUAAACGAGUCACUUUUUGUUACAUGGGAAUUCAAAGUAAUUUACCUGUACAUCUGUAAAGCAAAUGCAAUAAAUAUAUUUGUCUUGUAUUUGGAUUCAGCUCUGCAGAAUCAUUUUCUUUUUUCCAGCUAAGUGAAAAUAUGAAGGAUGACUGAAAAUGAAUGCUGGGGUAUUUUAU